UACGGAGGGGGUUAGCGUUGUUCGGAAUCACUGGGCGUAAAGCGCACGUAGGUGGAUUAGUAAGUCAGGGGUGAAAGCCCCAGAGCUCAAACUCUGGAAUUGCCCUUGAUACUGCUAGUCUAGAGUUUGGGAGAGGUAAGCGGAAUUCCGAGUGUAGAGGUGAAAUUCGUAGAUAUUCGGAGGAACACCAGAGGCGAAGGCGGCUUACUGGCCCAAAUACUGACAACUGAGGUGCGAAAAGCGUGGGGAGCAAAACAGG
rnacentral:rRNA from 1 species